CCUGGCUCACUAUGAACGCUAGCUACAGGCUUAACACAUGCAAGUCGAGGGGCAGCAUUUCAGUUUGCUUGCAAACUGGAGAUGGCGACCGGCGCACGGGUGAGUAACACGUAUCCAACCUGCCGAUAACUCGGGGAUAGCCUUUCGAAAGAAAGAUUAAUACCCGAUGGCAUAAUUAGACCGCAUGGUCUUAUUAUUAAAGAAUUUCGGUUAUCGAUGGGGAUGCGCUCCAUUAGGCAGUUGGUGAGGUAACGGCUCACCAAACCUUCGAUGGAUAGGGGUUCUGAGAGGAAGGUCCCCCACAUUGGAACUGAGACACGGUCCAAACUCCUACGGGAGGCAGCAGUGAGGAAUAUUGGUCAAUGGGCGCAGGCCUGAACCAGCCAAGUAGCGUGAAGGAUGACUGCCCUAUGGGUUGUAAACUUCUUUUAUAUGGGAAUAAAGUUUUCCACGUGUGGAAUUUUGUAUGCACCAUAUGAAUAAGGAUCGGCUAACUCCGUGCCAGCAGCCGCGGUAAUACGGAGGAUCCGAGCGUUAUCCGGAUUUAUUGGGUUUAAAGGGAGCGUAGGUGGAUAGUUAAGUCAGUUGUGAAAGUUUGCGGCUCAACCGUAAAAUUGCAGUUGAUACUGGCUGUCUUGAGUACAGUAGAGGUGGGCGGAAUUCGUGGUGUAGCGGUGAAAUGCUUAGAUAUCACGAAGAACUCCGAUUGCGAAGGCAGCUCACUGGACUGCAACUGACACUGAUGCUCGAAAGUGUGGGUAUCAAACAGGAUUAGAUACCCUGGUAGUCCACACAGUAAACGAUGAAUACUCGCUGUUUGCGAUAUACAGUAAGCGGCCAAGCGAAAGCAUUAAGUAUUCCACCUGGGGAGUACGCCGGCAACGGUGAAACUCAAAGGAAUUGACGGGGGCCCGCACAAGCGGAGGAACAUGUGGUUUAAUUCGAUGAUACGCGAGGAACCUUACCCGGGCUUAAAUUGCAUUUGAAUAAUCUGGAAACAGGUUAGCCGUAAGGCAAAUGUGAAGGUGCUGCAUGGUUGUCGUCAGCUCGUGCCGUGAGGUGUCGGCUUAAGUGCCAUAACGAGCGCAACCCUUAUCUUUAGUUACUAACAGGUUAUGCUGAGGACUCUAGAGAGACUGCCGUCGUAAGAUGUGAGGAAGGUGGGGAUGACGUCAAAUCAGCACGGCCCUUACGUCCGGGGCUACACACGUGUUACAAUGGGGGGUACAGAAGGCAGCUACCUGGUGACAGGAUGCUAAUCCCAAAAGCCUCUCUCAGUUCGGAUCGAAGUCUGCAACCCGACUUCGUGAAGCUGGAUUCGCUAGUAAUCGCGCAUCAGCCAUGGCGCGGUGAAUACGUUCCCGGGCCUUGUACACACCGCCCG
rnacentral:rRNA from 1 species